UUAUGGUUUAUAAAUUUUAUUUUAAAUUUAUUUUACAUAUAAAUUUUAGUGUUAAUUUUAUAUUAUUUAAAUAAUAAUUUUAUAUUUUAUAUGUAGUAAUUAAUAUUAAAUUAUUUAAGAAAUUAAGAUUUAGUAAUAUUUAAAUUGAUAACAAAUUUUGUGCCAGCAGUUGCGGUUAUACAAAAAUUAAAUUAAAUUUUAUUGAUAAUUAAUAAAUAAUUUUUUUUUAUAAUAAAAAUUUUAAAUUAUUAGGUGAAAUUUUAAUUUAAUAAAAUUUUAUAAUUAUUUUAUGAUUUAAUAAAUUUUAUAAAAAACUAGGAUUAGAUACCCUAUUAUUAAAAUUUAAAAUUAAAAUAUCAAAAUAGUAAAUAAUUAUUUAUUGAAACUUAAAUAAUUUGGCGGUAUUUUAGUUCAUUUAGAGGAAUCUGUUUAAUAAUUGAUAGUCCACGAAUAAAUUUACUUAAUUUAUAUUUUUGUAUAUCGUUGUUAAAAAAAUAUUUUUUAAUAAAAUUAAUAUUUAAAAAUUAUUAUUUUAAUUUAAAUCAGAUCAAGAUGCAGAUUAUAAUUAAGAAUAUAAUGGAUUACAAUAAAUUUAUUUAAAUGAAUAUUAAUUUGUAAAAAUUUAAUUGAAAGUGGAUUUAAAUGUAAUUUUAUUUAGUUUAGUAAAAUGAUUAAAAAUUAAAAUAUGUACAUAUUGCCCGUCGCUUUCAUAUAAUUAAUAAAAUUGAAAUAAGUCGUAACAAAGUAGAGGUACUGGAAAGUGUUUCUAGAAAGAA
rnacentral:ncRNA from 1 species